CAGACGCGAAAUGUGUUAUGACUUGCAAUCUUCGCGAAUCAUUUAAUCUUUGAACGCAACUUGCACCCUCGGGCUUGACCCUUGGGUAUACUUGUUUGAGUAUCGUCUAUGCUCUCACGCUUCCUUUCCCUUUCGGGGGACGGGUCGAGUGGACUUGAAGCGUAUGGGCCUCGGCUCCUUGCCUCUAAAUGCAUGAUCUUGCUCCAGGAGACAGGUCUUGCCCUUUGCCGCAAGGCAUCGGGAACCAACUUGGGAUAACGUCCAUCAAGUUUGGUUACUUGUUCCCCUUGGACCCGGCAGUCAGCAAUGGCUGUGCAGAUCAAAUGAACGUGCCACAGGCUAGCGAUAGCCUUGCGGGACAACCCUUUGACGUACCGAUCUCAAAUCAAGUAAGGUUACC
rnacentral:misc_RNA from 1 species